rnacentral:rRNA from 1 species
GCUGGCGGCAGGCUUAACACAUGCAAGUCGAGCGCCCCGCAAGGGGAGCGGCAGACGGGUGAGUAACACGUGGGAACAUACCCUUUACUACGGAACAACUCCGGGAAACUGGAGCUAAUACCGUAUGUGCCCUUCGGGGGAAAGAUUUAUCGGUAAAGGAUUGGCCCGCGUUGGAUUAGCUAGUUGGUGGGGUAAAGGCCUACCAAGGCGACGAUCCAUAGCUGGUCUGAGAGGAUGAUCAGCCACAUUGGGACUGAGACACGGCCCAAACUCCUACGGGAGGCAGCAGUGGGGAAUAUUGGACAAUGGGCGCAAGCCUGAUCCAGCCAUGCCGCGUGAGUGAUGAAGGCCUUAGGGUUGUAAAGCUCUUUCACCGAUGAAGAUAAUGACGGUAGUCGGAGAAGAAGCCCCGGCUAACUUCGUGCCAGCAGCCGCGGUAAUACGAAGGGGGCUAGCGUUGUUCGGAAUUACUGGGCGUAAAGCGCACGUAGGCGGAUAUUUAAGUCAGGGGUGAAAUCCCAGAGCUCAACUCUGGAACUGCCUUUGAUACUGGGUAUCUUGAGUAUGGAAGAGGUAAGUGGAAUUGCGAGUGUAGAGGUGAAAUUCGUAGAUAUUCGCAGGAACACCAGUGGCGAAGGCGGCUUACUGGUCCAUUACUGACGCUGAGGUGCGAAAGCGUGGGGAGCAAACA